AACAGGGGGCUGUGGGCGUUGAGUGGGGCGAGGGGGCAAAGGGAGCAGGGACUUUGGUGGUCGCGCAUUGAGGAUGAGGAUGGCCUUGGGAAUGGCGAACGUGUAGAGGGAUCAGGAAGUAGCAGUCCAAUUUCUAGGACAAAUCAUAGGAAAUGAGGGCGCAGAAGCAAGCAAAGGAGUGUGAGAGCACAAGCUGGAAAGAGCGUGAGAGGGCGCAAGAACAGGCGAACUGGAAGUGAGCUUGGGGCAGCUGCAUAGGGUGGAACACAACGGGUCACGGGGACGUAGGUAAGGUAGGAGCCGGGGGACACUUUCUUCCCCUGAGUCCAUUUUCCAAAGGCGGCCUCCAUUCAGCCAUUUUUAAGAUAAAAUGUUGACCCAAAUGUUUUUUAGGAUACAAGGAAAGAACGUCAGAGGAAGCUGUACCAAAGCGAGUCUGCGCAAGGCGCAGAAAAGGCAAUCAGAGGGUGGCGCCUUUUUUAAAGAAGUUUCUAUCCUUUCCACUCCAAAGCUAAAGCCAUCUCUCCCCUCCCUCCCUUUCCCCCCUCUUCCUAGUCUCCCCGCCCCCCCAUGGUCCGAUCGCCUUUAAACCGGAUAACCGCCUCUGUUUUCACACCAGCUCCGGGAGCCUCUCAGUUGAGUGGGUGGAGCCCGCAGCAGCUGCUGGCUGAGCUCCAGGACCGGUGGGAGGGGUCCCGGGGGCACUAACGGCGCACCGCGGCCAUGACGCUGGGCAUAUCGUUCACAGAAGCCCCUGUCUCAUUCCAUCUACAGUCGCAGUUUGUUUCCAGACGCCUUUCUCCUCAGGCCGAGCAGUGAGCGGAUGGCCCAGGUUCGAGAAACUUCCUUGUCCUCCGGCUCCGCGGCCCGCUGGAGCCUGGGAGGUAGGGGAGGAGCCUUGCCCGAGGAGGCGGCUGAGAAGGCGGGGGAAAUAGAGCAGGCGGCGGUGGGGACCGCGGAGGCGUAUACGGGCCGGGAAGCUGAGGAGAUGAAGCUGGAGCCAUUACAGCAAAGUAAGCUGGCGCCAGAGGAGAACUUGACGUGGAGCGGCAGCGGCAGCGAUGAGAAGGUGCUUCCUUCAAUCCCCCCUAGCUGUCACAGCAGCUCCUCGCCCGUUUGGCCGCGCCGCAAACCCCGCCCUCGGCCCCAGUCCCCGGCCAGCUCCAGAGUCCCGCCGGGGCUCUUGGCCCCGCCUCCGCCUCCAGCCCAGCCCCCGCCCCCUCCCACACCGAGGCCCCGGACCUGGCGCGGGUCCCGGCGCAGAUCCCGGCCAGGGUCCAGGCUCCAGAGGCGGAGAAGCUUCUUUGGUGACCGAGGCGGCUCUGGGGAUCAAGGCGGAUUGGAGGACUGGCUGCUGGAGGUAGAGUUUGAGCAGGGUCCCACAGGAUGCUCUCAUGUGGAGAGCUUUAAAGUAGCUAAGAACUGGCGGAAGAACUUGAGGCUCAUCUACCAGCGUUUUGUUUGGAGUGGAACCCCGAAGACUUGGAAACGUAAGGCAAAGUCAUGCAUCUGUCAUGUAUGUAGUACUCAUAUGAACAGACUCCACUCUUGUCUCUCCUGUGUCUUUUUUGGCUGCUUUACUGAGAAACAUAUUCACAAACAUUCAGAAGCAAAACAGCACAAUUUAGCUGUAGACCUCUCUCAUGGGGUUAUAUAUUGCUUUAUGUGUAAGGAUUAUGUGUAUGACAAAGACAUAGAACAGAUUGCCAAAGAAACAAAAGAGAAAAUUUUGAAAUUAUUAUCUUCCACCUCAACAGACGUUUCUCAUCAACAGUUUAUGACAUCAGGGGUUGAAGAGAAGCAAUCAACCUGUGAGACAAAGGAAGAGAAACCAAAAUUGGUGAAACCCAAGAAAAAGAGGAGAAAAAAGUCAGUCUAUACUGUAGGCCUGAGAGGGCUAAUCAAUCUUGGUAACACCUGUUUUAUGAACUGUAUUGUCCAGGCCCUUACCCAUAUUCCUCUACUAAAAGAUUUCUUCCUCUCUGACAAGCACAAAUGUAUAAUGACAAGCCCCAGCUUGUGUCUGGUAUGCGAAAUGUCUUCGCUUUUUCAUGCUAUGUACUCUGGGAGCCGAACUCCUCACAUUCCCUAUAAGUUACUGCACCUGAUAUGGAUUCAUGCAGAACAUUUAGCAGGGUACAGGCAACAAGAUGCCCAUGAAUUCCUUAUUGCGAUGCUAGAUGUGCUACAUAGACACAGCAAAGAUGAUAGCGUUGGGCAGGAGUCCAAUAACCCCAACUGCUGUAACUGCAUCAUAGACCAAAUCUUUACAGGUGGGUUGCAAUCAGAUGUCACAUGUCAAGCCUGCCAUAGUGUCUCCACUACCAUAGACCCAUGCUGGGAUAUCAGUUUGGACUUGCCUGGUUCUUGUGCCACAUUUAGUUCCCAGAGCCCAGAGAGGGCUGACAGCACAGUGAGCAGUAAUGACCACAUACCAGGAAUACCCUCACUCACAGACUGCCUACAGUGGUUUACAAGGCCAGAGCACCUAGGAAGCAGUGCCAAAAUCAAAUGCAGUAGUUGCCAAAGCUACCAGGAGUCUACCAAACAGCUCACAAUGAAAAAAUUACCCAUUGUGGCCUGUUUUCAUCUCAAGCGGUUUGAACAUGUAGGCAAACAGAGGCGAAAGAUUAAUACCUUUAUCUCCUUUCCCUUGGAGCUGGACAUGACUCCGUUUUUGGCCUCUACUAAAGAGAGCAGAAUGAAAGAAGGCCAGCCACCAACAAAUUGUAUUCCCAACGAGAAUAAGUAUUCCUUGUUUGCAGUAAUUAAUCACCAUGGAACUUUGGAAAGUGGCCACUAUACCAGUUUUAUCCGGCAACAAAAAGACCAGUGGUUCAGCUGUGAUGAUGCCAUUAUCACCAAGGCUACCAUUGAGGACUUACUCUACAGUGAAGGGUAUUUACUGUUCUACCACAAACAGGGCCUAGAGAAAGACUAGUCUUACCAGACCACUUAACAGAAAAAAGUGAAAAAUGAUUAGGCAAGGAUUCUGAAGUAACAUGCACACUUACCUGGAAUGGACAAUGACAACAAUACCCUUACAACAAUGAGCAUCUCUUGAAGUAACACAAAAACCUACUUGGAAUGAACAAUGACAAUACCUAUAUGACAACUGGAACCUUGAAAUAUCAUGGGAAGUCAGGGG